CCCCAUAGUACUGAGACNNCGCAUGGUGAUUCAGUUAAAGCUUCGGCGGUAUAAGAUGGGCAUGCGUCCUAUUAGCUAGAUGGUAAGGUAACGGCUUACCAUGGCUACGAUAGGUAGGGGCCUGAGAGGGUGACCCCCCACACUGGUACUGAGACACGGACCAGACUCCUACGGGAGGCAGCAGUGAGGAAUAUUGGUCAAUGGGCGCAAGCCUGAACCAGCCAUGCCGCGUGCAGGAAGAAUGCCCUCUGGGUUGUAAACUGCUUUUAUUUGGGAAUAAACCUUUCUACGUGUAGGAAGCUGAAGGUACCAAAUGAAUAAGCACCGGCUAACUCCGUGCCAGCAGCCGCGGUAAUACGGAGGGUGCAAGCGUUAUCCGGAAUCCUUGGGUUUAAAGGGUCC
rnacentral:rRNA from 1 species